rnacentral:pre_miRNA from 2 species
AAAGUUCUGUGACACUCCGACUCUGGGUACGAUAGCAGUCAGUGCACUACAGAACUUUGU